rnacentral:rRNA from 1 species
GACGAACGCUGGCGGCGUGCCUAAUGCAUGCAAGUCGAGCGGGCUACGAUCUUCGGAUUGUAGCUUAGCGGCGAACGGGUGAGUAACACGUAGGUAAUCUACCCUUCAGAGGAGGACAACCUCAGGAAACUGAGGCUAAACCUUCAUACGUUCACUGGUAGGGAUACUGGUGAAGAAAGAGUUACCUUAAAGGUAGCUGCUGAAGGAUGAGCCUGCGGCCCAUCAGGUAGUUGGUGAGGUAACGGCUCACCAAGCCGAAGACGGGUAACCGGUCUGAGAGGAUGUCCGGUCACACUGGGACUGAGACACGGCCCAGACUCCUACGGGAGGCAGCAGCAGGGAAUCUUGGGCAAUGGGCGAAAGCCUGACCCCAGCGACGCCGCGUGGAGGAAGAAGUCCUUCGGGCGUAAACUCCUGGACUGGGGACGAGGAAGGACGGUACCCCAGAGAAAGGGACGGCUAACACGUGCCAGCAGCCGCGGUAAGAUAGCGUACU